GCUAAUCUGGUUGAAUUGGCUACGAACCGCUAAAAAAAGGCUAGGUACUGAUUUUAUAUUUGCCCAAACAAAUGUAUGAUUUUGCAUGAGUCAAAUAAAAAUUUACAACUUUGUUAUUUUCCUUUAAGUACAAUUGUUCUAUAUUUUUCAUACUUGUUUUAAUUUGAUAAAUAUACAAAAUAUAAUAAAAUAUUCAUCAUGUAUUAUAAAAUAUUCAUAACGUAUCCAUCUUGUUUUUGAAUUUUCAUAUCCUAAUUAAAAAAUGUUCAUCGUUUGAGAGUUCUUAUGUAUGAAUUAAUAAUAUUUGUCGUUUUUACCAAAUGCUCAUCGAGUUUCCAAAAAUGUUUGUACCAUUAGAAAACAUUGUUGACGACAUUAAAAAAAUGUUAACACAUUUAAGACAUUGUUCAUGUCAAUUCAAAAAUAUUCAUUAUGGUUCUAAAAAAGUCCAUGAAAUGUAAACAUUUAUUCGGACAAUUUUUGAAAAACGGUCAUGGUAUAUGAAAAUAUAAUUAUAACACUUAACAAAAUAUUCACAUGUUUUAAAAUAUGUUCAUGACAAUGUAGAAUUUCUUACCACAAUUAUUUUUUAAGUCUAUGUCACAUAAAAAUGUUCACUUGUUUAACCAAAAGACGACAAAAUGUAAAAGAAACAUAAAUAAAAAAUUAGCAAAAUAAGAAAGAAUUAGAAGAAACAAAAAAGAAGGAAAAAUAUAUCAGAAAAUAAAUAUUCAAAGUAAACCAGAAAAAUAAAAUAAAAAACUGGCAUAGAAAACAAAGAAAAAAAGGCUGUAGAAGGUUAACAAAACCAGAAAAAAAAACCUGUUCUCAACUGUAGCUUAAAUGUUUCCCAAGACCAAUUUAUGGGUCGUGUCACUCAGACAUACGUUGUAGGCAAGGGACCUGUUGAUGAUAUAACCAUUAGAGUCACCCGCUCAGGAGGGGCCGGGUUACGUCAUAAUGAUCAUCACGUGAAGCCCAGUACCAAGCUUGAGGAUGGCGGUUCAGUAAUGGGCUUAAGACCCGGAGGCGGCUUAAGGCCCGUAGUGAUAGACCGCCGUUAUGGCAAGACUUGUAGUGUAAGGCAAGAAUAGUUAAGAGUCCGAGCCGGACACUGUUAUAAGUCGGCUGGGACUCUGAGAGCCGCUGGGCGUCAACCUCUCUAUAUAAAGGGACGACCCGGCGGCGGUUCAGGACAAGUAAGAUCAGAUCGAUAGCCAAGCAGAGCGGUUUAGCUCCUGGUCAUCGAAACCCUAAGUAAUACCACCUCAACUGGACGUAGGCUUUUACCUUCAACGUAAGGGGCCGAACCAGUAUAAUCUCCGUGUCCUUUGUCCCGUUUAACCCCUUUAAGCUUCCUAGCGGCGAUGGCUCCACGACUAAGUCCUUGCACGAGGACAUCUGCCGUGAAAAUUCCACGACAGUUGGCGCCCACCGUGGGGCCAGCGCACGGUGGAUUUGAGUUCUUGAAGGGCAGCUUCGAAGGGCUCAAGGGAUACGCUGUGGGCCGGAUGACCAAGAGUCGUCGGCAAGCUCUACAUCAACGAUGCAGGCUGGGGCCCCGACGCCGGCUCAAUCGAGUACGAGUACCGGGUCCCCUUCGGCGGAAUUCACGUUUUCAUUGGCAAGAUUGGCGAGCCGGGCCCUUAGCCGGACCACUGCGCCGACCCCAUCGAGACGGCUCGGCGUGCAAGACCCGCCCGGACUCUGCCUGCUUUGAAGCGUGCUUUCGUGGGAUGCGUCCAUGGAGGACUCUCUGAAGGAUCUGGAUCUGGCGAUGAGACGGCCGCUCGCUCUGACGGCGGGUCGUCCAGAGACGAGACCAACUCGUUAUAUCAACUUCAAGAUGGCAGGCUCAGGGGCAGCUCCGAUGGCGACAGUAUUCCGGACCCCUUUGAGCCGCCCAGCCGGGUCGGGAUCUUCAUGGCCGGCGCACAACCUGUUCAAAACCCCGCUGCUGGGGCAGGAGGCCCUGCGCACUCGCCGGCUCAGGCGCUGAUGGAUCUCACAGAUAAGAUGACAGCCCUGUUAACGGCUACGGUCGUCCCAGCGGAUCAAGCUCCGCAUGAUGCGGAGGUGGCACAGUUAAAGCUGGAUAUAGCGAGAGCCAAGGAAGAUCUAGCAGCGGAAGGGAUCAGGAUGGCUGCAGAGCGGGCGGCUCUCGACGCCCGGACUCAGCUGAUUCAGGCGCAGUCUUUCCGGCUCACGAUGGAUCAGAACGCAUCCAAUGAGAUCAUGAGAAGGAGGCAUCAGAAGGCUCCAUCUCGACUCCCUCCGGUUUACGAUCCUCGAAACCUUUUCAACACGCCUAGUGCAGGGCCCAGUAACCCGCCAGAGAUCACGGCACCCGGGGCUGGAACGCCGCUUCAGCCGCAAGUGAUGGGGCCUCCCCGUGUGAACACUACCCCACCUCAGUACGUGCCAAUACCACCGGGUCAUUAUGCCAACCCGUUGGAAAACAUGGUCGUCGCGGCGGCGCGACUGGCGGCUCUCCCAAUCGAUGGCGACUCUCCAACGGCGGUCGAAACCUGUCGGGUCAGAGAACUUCUUCAGACGGCUCUGGCGCAGCAGGAGGCAUAUUCAUAUAGCCGGGACAGGAUUCAUUCAACCCCUCGUCCAGGCCGGAGCCCAAGUUAUAGCAGACACAUGGUCUCAGCGACCGGCUCAAGCAACGUCCGGCGCCGUGACUUGCCAGCGGGCCACGGCCCGGCUCAUAACGGAGCCUUUAACGCGGUAGACCAAGACAGAGCACGGCAAGAGGCGGAGCAGGCGCCUCAGUUAACGGCUUACCAGCCCCUCCCGGUUUAUCCGGCGGCUUCUAUAGAGGCGGGUAUACCUACGAGGACCAGAGGUGUCCCUUGUCUGGUGCCGGCUCUCCGUAAUGAACGUCUGCCCAAGGAUUUCAAAGGACCUAGGAAGGUACCUAAUUAUACGGCUGAUUUACAACCUGGAGCAUGGAUCGAGAGGUACGAGAUGGCUAUGGAGUUGCUAGAGGUCAGUGAAGCGGCAAUGGCCAAAUACUUCACCAUGAUGUUGGAUGGAACUGCCCGCACUUGGUUGAAAGGACUACCGCCUAAUUCUAUCGGGUCAUGGGCAGAGCUAAAAGCCCGGUUCAUCCAAAACUUCAAAGAUACAUGUAGGCAAUCUAUGUCAAUUGUGGAUUUGACUAAUUGGAAGCAGCAGGAGGGUGAGUCUACAACCCAUUGGGUUCGCCGGGUCAAAGAGAUAAUACAUUCAUCUGAUAAGAUGGAUGCCGGCUCUGCAGUCUUAAUGUUGGAGCAGAAUUGUCGUUUUGCGCCCCAGAAGAUGAAGCUCGGGCGGCUCAAGCGCGAUUGCAAUGAUAUGGGUACGCUGAUGGCGGCUCUGGUCAAGUACGCCGACUCUGAUAGUACCAAGGAUCCCGCGUCGGAUGAUGAAAGGACAGGGAAGGGAAAACGGAAUGGCAAUGGCAAGGGCCCUCAGCAUAACCCGGCGAACCAGGGAGGUAACAAGCGUAAGGCUGAUGGCAGUAUGGAGUUUGUGGCCAACGCCAAUUCACAGGGUAACAACCACCGACGUAAGGGGAGACCACCUCCCCGAGCCGGCGGGUCAGGCCCGACGCUUGAGCAGUUGUUGAAUGAGCCUUGUCCAAGGCAUGGCUCUAGGGAGAAGCCGGCCACUCAUCUAUGGAAGGACUGCGCGAUCAUGAAGGCCUUCAAAAAUUCCAAUGCUUUUAAUGGCAACAAUGGCCCGGGCAGCGGCUCAGGCGCCGGCGGUUUUCAUGGCCCGGGCGGCGGCUCAAAUCCCAAUUCUCAGAAUUUCCAAGGGGGUUUUAAUCAGCAAUCUGGCCAGGGUAAUCAGCAGCAGCAGCAGGGGGUACCAGACCAAUCCAAAGCAGCUCAAUGGUGGACAGUAUCAUGUGUUCACUACCAGCCUAUGCAAGCGAGAUCAGAAGCUUCAUAAGAGGGCUGUAAAUGAUGUUGAGCCGGCGAUUCCCCGCUAUUUAAGAUGGUCUGAGCAGCCUAUCAUAUGGAGUAGGGAAGAUCACCCUCCCCGGGUCGAUAAUCCGGGUCACCUGGCCUUGGUGGUGGCCCCUCAGGUUGGGGGAUAUAAAUUCACUAAAGUGCUCAUGGAUGGAGGCAGCAGCAUCAACAUCCUCUAUUAUGAGACCUUCCGUCGUAUGGGAUUAACUGAUAAGAACCUCAGCCAGUCCAAUACUGUUUUCCAUGGGGUGGUGCCCGGUAAGUCGGCAUAUCCAGUCGGUAAGAUCGAGCUGGAAGUAGCCUUUGGAGAUGAGUACAACUACAGGGCGGAAAAACUAACCUUUGAGGUGGUUAAGAUAAGAAGUCCGUACCAUGCUUUAUUUGGGCAGCCGGCUUACGCCAAGUUCAUGGCACGGCCGUGUUACGUGUAUUUGCAGCUUAAGAUGCCGGGUCACAAUGGGACCAUUACGGUUCAUGGCAGCCGAAAGAUAGCCUUGGAGUGUGAGGAAGGUGACGCGGCUUACGCUGAAUCUGUUUGGGCAACAGAGGAGUUGAAGUUUUACAAGGACAAUGUUGACCCGGCAGAUACGACGUCUUUGAAAAAGCCAACCACGGAGCAUGAGCCGGUAAUGAAAAAUAAGUCAGCUGAUGAGACUAAACUUGUUGACUUUGUUCCAGGUGACUCAUCUCAGCAGUUCAGCAUCAGUGCCAAUCUGGAUCCGAAAUAGGAAGGCGCGCUCAUCGAGUUCAUCCGUGAGAACAGGGACAUCUUUGCAUGGAAACCUUCUGACAUGCCGGGUGUACCUAGAGAACUCGCUGAGCACACUCUCAAUAUUGAUCCGAAAUUUAAGCCGGUCAGGCAAUUCCUCCGGCGGUUUAAUGAGGAGAGGCGGAAAGCCAUUGGUGAGGAGGUAGCCCGGCUCUUGGCGGCCGGGUUUAUUGUUGAAGUUUUUCAUCCAGAAUGGUUAGCUAACCCGGUGCUCGUGCUCAAGAAGAACGGCACCUGGCGGAUGUGUGUGGACUAUACGGAUUUAAACAAAGCUUGUCCGGCUGAUCCUUUUGCUCUCCCCAUAUUGAUCAAAUUAUUGAUGCUACGGCGGGUUGUGAGCGUUUAAGCUUUUUGGAUGCUUACUCUGGAUACCAUCAGAUCAAAAUGGCAGUUAAGGACCAGGAGAAGACGGUGUUCAUCACUCCCUUUGGAGCCUUCUGUUAUGUGUCUAUGCCUUUUGGGCUCAAGAGUGCACAGGCGACUUACCAGCGUUGCGUGCAGAAUUGUCUUCAUAACCAGAUUGGGCGCAACGUUCAUGCCUAUGUGGAUGAUAUCGUGGUUAAAUCCAGGGAGAAGGAGACCUUGAUAGAUGAUCUGAGAGAGACCUUUGAUAAUCUCCGGGUCUACAAGAUGAUGCUUAACCCGGCCAAGUGUGUUUUUGGUGUUCCCGCAGGCAAGCUCUUGGGUUUUCUGGUUUCUCACAGAGGCAUUGAAGCUAACCCGGAAAAGAUCAAGGCAAUCACCUCUCUGGCUAAGCCGGCGUGCAUAAACGACGUCCAGCGUCUGGCGGGUCACAUCGCUGCUUUGAGCCGGUUUAUAAGCCGGUUGGGUGAAAAGGCCAUGCCACUGUACCAGAUAAUGAAGAAAACAGAUGACUUUGUCUGGAAUGAUGCUGCUAAUGCUGCUUUUGAGGAUUUGAAAAGACAACUAGCUGAGCCACCAGUCCUUGCUGCUCCUGUUGACAAGGAGCCUUUAUUGCUGUAUGUAGCCGCUAACACAAGAGCCGUCAGUGUGGCUGUGGUGGUGGAGCGUAAGGAAGCGGGUAAGGAGUAUCCGGUUCAGCGGCCGGUUUACUACGUCAGCGAAGUACUCAUUGAGUCCAAACAACGGUAUCCACAUUGGCAGAAGCUUGUUUAUGGGGUAUUCAUGGCAAACCGGAAGCUUAAGCAUUAUUUCCAGGGUCACCCUAUCACUGUGGUUAGUUCUGCUCCCCUAGGAGAUAUCAUCCAAAACAGAGAAGCCACAGGAAGAGUUGCUAAGUGGGCUAUAGAACUUGGGCCUCAUGGUCUAAAAUGCAUGCCGCGCACUGCUAUCAAAUCUCAAGCAUUGGUGGAUUUCAUCAAUGAUUGGACAGAGCUGCAGGUGCCUGAAGAGAAACCGAAUAAUACAUACUGGACUAUUCACUUCGACGGGUCCAGGCAAUUGGAGGGCUCGGGGGCUGGAGUUGUAUUAGCUUCCCCUCGAGGUGACAAGUUUUGCGAUGUGCUAUGGUUGAUGUUUCCCUGUACUAACAAUGCAGCUGAGUACGAGGCCUUGCUCCAUGGUCUUCGGAUGGCUAAGGAGAUGAGCUUAAGCCGGGUAAGGUGCUUUGGCGACUCAGAUUUAGUAUCCCAACAAGUGUCAGGCAAGUGGGAUUCCAAGGACCCCCUCAUGGCGGCUUAUCGCCGCGAAGUUGAUGCCAUUGCUGGACAUUUUCAGGGUUACCAAGUAGAGCACAUCGAUCGCAGGAAGAACGAGGCGGCUGAUGCAUUAAGCCGGCUGAGCUCUCAGCGAAAGCCGGUGCCGCCUAAUACUUUCUUGGACAUUUUGCAUAACCCUUCUGUUAAGUUGCCUACAGAGGAAGACUUGGUUGUUCCUGACCCGGAAGCACAGUUGGUGGCGGCUCUCCACAUUAUCCCAGAUUGGACAGUACCAUACUUGACUUACAUGACCCGAGAAUUGCCUGAGGAUGAAACUUUGGCCAGACAAAUAACCCGGCGGUCUAAGUCAAUGAUAAUUAUCAAUGGCGAGCUACAUCGUCGCAGUGUCACUGGGACUUUCCAGCGUUGUGUUUCCCCUGAGGAAGGUCAAGAAAUUUUACGUGAGAUUCACGAGGGGGAUUGUGGCCAUCAUGCCGGCUCAAAAUCCCUUGUGGCCAAGGCUUUUCGUCAUGGUUUUUAUUGGCUGACGGCUCAUGCUGAUGCAGAGGACUUGGUCAGUAAAUGUGACGGUUGUCAGAGGUUCUCACGACGGGCUCAUGUGCCGGCUCAAGAGUUGAGGAUGAUUCCAAUCAGUUGGCCAUUUGCGGUCUGGGGGCUUGAUAUGGUUGGGCCUUUCAAAAGGUCCAAGGAUAAGAAGACCCACCUCUUGGUGGCAGUCGACAAGUUCACAAAGUGGGUUGAGGCAGAGCCAGUUAGUAAGUGUGACGCAGCCACAGCGGUUCAGUUCAUGAAAAGGGUGAUAUUUCGCUUUGGUUUUCCACACAGUGUUAUAACUGACAAUGGCACCAAUCUGUCUAAGGGCGCCAUGGAGGAAUUUUGUCAACGAGAGCAUAUUCGGCUCGAUGUUUCAUCAGUGGCUCACCCUCAAUCCAAUGGUCAGGCUGAGAGAGCCAAUCAGGAGAUCUUGAAGGGCAUCAAGCCCCGGCUUUUGGUCCCUUUGCAACGGACGCCGGGUUGUUGGGUAGAGGAGUUACCUUCCGUGUUAUGGAGCAUCAAUAUUACUCCUAACAGGUCUACGGGUUACACACCUUUCUUCAUGGUUUACGGAGCUGAGGCGGUCCUCCCUAGCGGCAUCCGUCAUGACUCGCCUCGAGUGGCGGCUUAUGUCGAGGCGGAUAAUGAGCAGGCGCGUCAAGAAGCUCUUGACUUGUUGGAUGAACAACGUGACGUAGCAGCAGCUCGCUCGGCGAUUUACCAACAAGACCUACGGCGCUAUCACAGCCGCCGGGUUAAGUCCUGGGUCUUUCAGGAAGGUGAUUUGGUGCUCCGGCUCAUCCAGGAUCAAACAGAUGCGCACAAGUUGUCCCCACCUUGGGAAGGGCCCUUUGUGGUCAGCAAGAACUUGCACAACGGGUCAUACUACCUUAUUGUUGUUCGGGAGCACAGAGAUUCACGUAAGUCGGAGGAGGAGACCCGCCGGCCGUGGAACAUAGCUCAGCUUCGGCCUUAUUACACUUGAGCCACCGUCUCUCAUGAUGUACAUAUUUCUAUAGCCAUGUAUAUAUUGUGAUAAGUAAUAAAGCUGGACCUCGGUCCUUUCCUUUCCUCCAAAGGUAAAUGUAUCAUUGUUAUUUUCAUUGGAAUAUUACAUGGCCAUUUGGAGGUUGAUCCGGCUCAUGAUUGUAUUCGAAUCUAACCGCCAAAAAUAUGGUCACUUGGGGGCUUCCUGUUCAAACAUAGGUCGUAUCCGAACCAAAGAGAACAUAGUUGUCGAUACCCACUUGAUUGGCAAAUUGCCGAGCUCAUUGGGGAGUUUUUCUUGAUCAUAUUUGAAUCAUAGCUCAACCCCCUUUGGGAACCGACGUGGAUCGUAUUCGAAUCAGCGUCGUUAAACAACUCUCAAGGUCAUUUGGGGGCUUCCUGUUCAAACAUAGGUCGUAUUCGAACCAAAGAGAACAUAGCUGUCGGUACCCUCUUGAUCGGCAACUCCAAAGCCACUGGGGGCUAUAUGAUCGCAUUCGAAUCUUAGCUUAACCCCUUUGGGACGGUUCUCUGGUCGUAUUCGAAUCAGAAGCCCCUAAGUUUUUGAUCUCUUGGUUUGCAACAAAUUCUUUUGAUCAUAUCAAAAGUGUUCAAGGGUGGUUCUUUGUCCACCGGCUUAACUUUGAUUAAUAAUGUUGAUAGCAUACAAUAAGCAUUAUAGGUGCUGGUGAACCGGAGUUGAGUUCUCAACCUUAUUAUUUGGGUUACAUAAACCGGAAGUGUACUUGAAGGCUUGCAGCCGCCUAGAGACUUGUGAUUUGUUUUCUAUGCAGGACAAUUAAAGACAGCUCUUUAAGCUUAAGGAAAGCAAAUGAUCAAACAUAACCCGGAGGAAUAUAAAAGAGCAGCCUAAAUAGAGUUGAGCGCUGCACACGUGCACGAUGGCACGACAAAAUUAAGUGUUUGUCCUACUCUAUUACAGGACUCCCCGAGUCCAAAAGUCAAUGCCGCUCAAAGCUUCAAAUUGAGCCUCAUCAUCAAUUAACCCGGCCGGGUUAACUUCAGGGGCGAAGGUAUGCUUAUGAGUUGGCAGAAUCAGGCUGACUGCCUCAUAGCGUGGUGUUGGGAUUCUCUGAUUCUCCGCGUCAUAGCCCGGCUGAUAUUUGGUAAGAUCUGUGUCAUUACCAAUCAAAGUGGCCACAGGGCGUACGCUCUUCACACAGGCGGCGAAGUCCUUCUGGUCAAAGGGGGUGCCGUCUUCCUUCAAGCUGGGAUACCCAAGGGCGAUGUCGGCCGGGUCUAGCUCCGGUAGAAACGCCUUGGCCCGGCUCAGAGCGGCUAUGGCUCCGGCUCUUGCAGAAGCCCGUCUCAGCUCUUGGAAGCACUGAGGAAGUACGGCAAGCCGCCUGAGUACAUCUGCCAGGUGAGUGGGAACUUCAUUGGACAGAGCCACAACGGCUAAAGCACGUUGUGACCCGGUGUAAAUUUGCUCCACCAAGGUGUAAACCGCCUUCAGCUUAGUCAGCACGCUCUGGUUGAGAUUGGAACUCCUGGGACCUACAUUACAAAGUCAAGUGAGCUGUUGGCAAUUGAGAUGUUUAUGGGAACUAAACGAUGUAAACUGAUUAGAAAUUUACCAAAGAUUGCGGAGACCAUCUCAGAGACAUGGCGUUUUAAGCCGGAUAGCUCGGCGGUUCUUUCAGUAAGAGUGGCCUCCGUUUGUUCGGCCCGGCUGAGCAAAGCAGCUUUUUCAUCUGCCCAGGCUUUCCUUUCUGCUUCAAACUUUUUCUUCAGUUUCACUUGUGCGGAUACACUGAGUUCAAAUUUGGAGUUGGCUUUUUGGGUUUCACUUUCCUGGGUCUUCAGGCGGCUCUUCAGAUCAGAGAUUUCCGAUUCUAAUUUCUUACAGGCGGCCUGUACAAAUUCCGGGUUACAGUUAAGGUGAUUAUAAUGCAAUAUUAAGUCCCAAGCACUUUGCAAGCAAAGACACUUGGCACUUGGGGACUAAUGUAUGCUGAAAGGCUCUAUCUACAGUGCCGGUUCAUGAAAGUAAGUCCCAAGCACUUUGCAGGCAAAGGUACUCGGCACUUGGGGGCUAAUGUGUAAAGUUUCUCAACUACUUGAUUAACAUAAGGUAAAGACCGGUUCAAUUAUGCUGUUUAAUCCGGCCCGUGAGUGUUACCAGGUAAGCCGGUUUUCUUGCAGUAGUUAUUAAGCCAGUAUUAAGUCUACAACAUAUUUUACCAUAAGUCAUAGACUUGGGGGCUCGCAUGGUAAGGGUGACUAUGGAGUAAGCAAGAGAAUCAUACCUCAGAUUUUUGCUGGAUUUGCUUCACCAUGUCAAUUUCCAGGUCCCGGCUGUUGUGCACUUGAUUAACAUAGCCGGAGACAAUAUCUCCAAUGCUCAAAUUAGCAUAGUCAGUGAUAUCCAGCCUGGCCCUGCGGCGUUCCAGCAGUUCUUCCUUGGCAGAGCAUCUAGCUAACACAGUGGGUCUCCCCGGCUCGACAAACUCAUUCCGGGUGAUUACAACGUCCAGAUCAUCGGCCGGUUGAGCCGGGCUGGGGAUCUCCGGGUUAUCAGGACCCUCCAUGACUUGUUCUUCAGAUGGAGUAGUGGUGGUUUCAGGAGCUGAGGCAGACGGCGGCUCAUGAGCAGAAGCCUCCGGUUCAGUUAGGACCGACUCUUCGGCCGGCUUAUUUUUCUUCACCCUCUUGCUGGGCUUUACUUGUACACUGGAAGUCAAAGAGUUAGUGCAAAACCAUGAGUAAGAUAAGCACAAAGUAAGCUGAUCAUCAUUACCCCGGGGCGGUCUUGAAGGCCGGCAAGCUAGACUGCAUUGAGUCGCCGGAGGAAGGUGAAGUUCCCUGGUAGUUUGAGUCCGAAGAAUUGAGUGGUUGACGAGUGACGCCCGCCAAAGGAUGAAAAGGAUAUAAGUCGGAGAUAACCUCGGUCCGGCGCUUCCUUGAUGCUUCAGGUAAGCCGGAGGAGAGGUCUGCGUCCUUGCUAGUCCGGAUCUGCCUCCGACUCUCAUGAAUCUGUCGCUUCAAAAGAAAUUGAGGAUCUUGAUAAGCUAAAGGAUGUGAAAAUCUUACUUUCCGGGUUACUCUUCGGACUUUCAGUCUUGGCAAGGGCUCCGAGUCGGAGGAAAGUAUAGUUACCUCUUCAAUCACCGGGUUACUCGCUCCGGUAUCCUCCUGCUGAUAAUCAGUGUCAAUAAGACGGUUAAAAAAGGAGCCUAAAGAAUCAAGGGCUACCUCUGACUCGGAGGUGUCUUCCAGGUGAAGCAGGUCCGAGGCGCUAGGCUUACUCCCUUUCUUGCAGGGAGCGGCUCUCCUGGCGGCUUUUUUAACCUUCCUGGCUUUCUUAGCAGCUUCAUGGUCAUACCUGACCUUCCAGAAUUUAUCAUUAGCCUGUAAAAUACAACAAAGAUUAGUAAGCUAAGACAAAAUCGUUAAAAUGAAAGGAGAAGCAUUCAGGUCAAUGGUUUAUCGCAGGAGCCGGGUUAGUCUUGCAGAAAGGGCUUAAGCCCACUCUCCCGCAAUCUGCCAGGCUCUCGUUCAGAAGCGACUUGGUUGUAUCGUCAAUAACGUCCUCAGGUAAGUCGUCUGGACUGUGUCGUAGAGGAUCAUCUUUCCGGCCUGUGUACUCACACAUCAAGCCGGGGCGGCGGCUUAAAGGAAUCACCCGCCAAGCAAUCCAGACCCGGACCAGAUCAACGCCGUUUAGGCCGUUUCCCAGAAGAGCUUUGAUUUUGUUGAUGGUGGGAAUAAGCGGUUGACGCUCAGCUUGAGAUAAUUUGUCUGGCAGGGGGUGAUUUGACUCCAGACGCAGGGCGCGAAAGCCGGGCAGAGGGUUCUCAUCACCCGGAGAAGUAUCUUGGCAGUAGAACCAUGUCUGGUUCCAGUCCUUCGGGUGGCUUGGCGGCUCAGCAUAAGGAAAGAGACAAUCUCUCCGUCAUUGGAUUGAGAUUCCACCAAGUUCCAAGCUAGGCCUGUUGGCACAUUCAUUCUGGCGGUUCAGGUAAAAUAACUCCCUAAAGAGUAGCAGGCUGGGUUCUUCUCCAAGGUAUACCUCACAGAACACUUGAAAGUUACAAAUGUUCGACACGGAGUUGGGUCCAAUGUCUUGAGGUCGCAGAUCGAAAAGUGCAGAACAUCUCUGAAGAAUUUUGAGCCAGGAGGAGCAAAGCCCCGGCUCAUGUGGUCAGCAAAUAUGACAACCUCUCCGUCCUUUGGUUGAGGUCUCUCUUCGGACGGGUCAGGAGCUUGGUAGGACAUGACCUCCUUCUUAGGCAGGUAACCCGUUUUUACGAAGUCAUCUAAGGUGCUAUCAGUAACGUUGGAUCUCACCCAGUUGCACGUAAUGGGCGCUUUGGGAGCCUUGGGCGACAUUGUGGAAAAUGGAAGCCUAUGACAAAAGAGAAUUCCCGAUUCAAAUUUAAGCCGGAGGAAGAUUUCAAGUUCAGUAUUCAAGAUGGCGGUUUAUGAAGGGGCCUAAUGAUAUAUGAUUAACUGUGUCAGGUUAUCUAAGCCGCCGUGGAUAUCUUAAGCAAUUUAAGUUAUUUAACUCUAUUGUGAGUGAGCCGGAGAUUUCACAAAGCAGGGUCUCUUUUAAGCCGGUGAUAUGAGCCGCCAUGGCUAACAGAUGCAGUUUUUUGUCUAAGUGUUGCACAAACAAGUUUCACAGAUUCCAGGGAUUACUUUGGAUCAAACGAUCGUCCAGAAAGGAAAAAUUUCUAGACCUAAAAAACUGAUAUAGAGGAGUUCAUAAGCUCUAAAUGAGGUCUUUUUUCGGGCAAAAGGGAUCUACUAGCAUAAAAAUGGGUGAGAAACUACUACCGCAGGGAGUCUGUACCGUUUUCGGAUCAAAAGGAGCCUCGGUGGAGGAACUGUGAAGAAAUCGAGAUGAAACUACGAAGAACAGGGAAGAAGCAUGGAACCCUAAUGCGAAUCUACUGUACGGAGUAGCAAGGACUUACUGGUGCCGAUGAGCAGUGGAGGUCGCCGUCGUUUCUCUGGACCGGUUCAGGAUGAUGCAGCGGCCGAGGCUGAGGAAGACGAGGGGCGCGGCGGCGGCGGCGGAGCUCGAGCUCUGGGGCGUCAGAGGAGGAAGACGAUGGAUCGAGAAGAGUGACGAAAGGCUUAUGGGCCGGGCCUAUUUAUAAGGGACGGCUGGUAAAUGGGCGCGAGAAACGAGGAGGCUGAAGACAUGAUUAUCUUGCCGUAGAAACUCCUCGAUUCUCGGGAUGGUCAUUAAGAUAAGAUCCGUUGGGAUAUGACAGAAUAAAAAAUGAAUUUAAUGGAAGAUGACGUCAUAAUGAUCAUCACGUGAAGCUAAAUAAAUUGUGUGCAGGAUCGUUGUUGGUGCCAGCUAGCAUUCUCCAAUGCAAACCACGUGAACAACAUUCAAUGACAUGUUUUGACACACAAUACUAUAGAGAAUUCAUUAAAUGUGGUGAUUCAAGUAUCCUAAUUUUGUAUGUAGAGUAAAGUAUUACUAUUCAUUUGGGAGUGUGUAAAAAUAGGAAUAGUGCGGAGAGGAAAUACGAGUUGUAAAACAUCAAGAGAAAAACAAAUCAACUUCCUUACUAGAAGUGAUAGAUUUGCAUCCAUGUAUUAAAUAAUGAGAUGUAGCAUAGACUCUUUUUUUGUGAAUCAGAUGGAUUUUAGACUUGUGUUCAUAUUUUUACCCGUGAAGUGUACCCUCUAUUAUUGUGUAUGUUCAUUACUCAAAAAAUAAGUGUAUGUACGUUUGUAUUGUAUUAAUUUUCAUUAAUUUUUUGACCAAAGAACUAUGAACACUUUUUUAUAUGUCAUGAACAUUUUUUAACAUUGCAUGAUUUUUUGAAGAAUGCCAUGAACACUUUUAAAUAUGUGAACAAUUUGUUAAAUGGUACCAGCAUUUUUUUGAAUGUCAUGAAUGUUUUGCAUAAACGUGUGAACAUUUUUAUAGUCUCAUGAAUAUUUUGCAUAAAAUGUUCAUGCGGUUCAAAAAAUGUGUUCACACAUUUCUAACAGAAUAUUCAUGAGACUUAGAAAAAUAAUCCCACAGUUAUAAAAAAAUAUUCACAAACUUGGAAAAAUGUUUGUACCGCUUAAGAAAAAUGUAUGUACGUUUAAAAAGUAUUCAUUGCAUGUUUUAAAAUUGUUCAUGCAAUUUUACAAACAAAUGUUCACGACAUAUAAAAAGUGUUCAUAACCAUUUAAAUAAUGUUCAAAACAUUUGCAGAAAAUGUUCACACACUUAAACAAAUUCAUGAAGAUGUAGAAAUUUGUUCACGCAAUUUUUAAAAACCGUCGCCCCUUUUUUACAUAAAGAACAUGAGAAAAGGGGGGAAUGAAAAUAAAAAAUAAAGUUAAAAAGGACAAGAAGAAAAAUCCCAAAAAAGUAGAUUAAAACACAGUAGAUAAAACACAGAAAGAAAGGAAAAACCCUAAAAAGAAACCUUCCGAAAAACACACAGAAGGAUCCCAAAAACCUGUCAAUAUUGUAUAUAGAAGCUUCUCAAAGCCACACAAGGAGCUGUUGUGCCGCCUCACCAAAACGAGCGUUGUAGGGGCGUCUAGGUCUUGUAUACUACGAGACCAACGGGACGCUCGCCUGUGCCGUGCGGGGUGGGCAGGCACACUACAGGGAUAUCCUAUUUAGCGCCCCGCAUGCUGGCAAACGACGGAGGGCGAACCCUCACUUUCCCCCGCAAACUCCGGAUAAAACUCAUCAUCAAAAAGUUUUCCCCCGAAAAACCCGGUGCCUUGCGAAAGGCGAUUAGGGUUUCAGGGUGGAACCGCGGCGGCGCACGGCGGAUCUACCGGCGGGGCGCGUUUUCGGCCGGGCAGAAGAUGGCAUCGACUUCUGGCGCAGGCAAGGAGAAGGAGCCCCUGUCCCCUAGGGCGGCUAGGGCGAAACUAGCUGAGGCAAUGGGGAAGUUGGAGAUCACCGAGGAGGAAGCGACACCGUUGGUUGUGGACGAUCUGGAGGAAGGUGAGCAGGAGAAGUGGAUCCUGGCGGGUAAGGUCCUUCAUCGGAACAUCCUUCACAUCCAAACAAUCACCAAUGCUCUCCGCCCUGCCUGGGGCAAUCCUAAAGGUUUGGGAAUCAGAUCUGUGGGAGACAACACUUUUGUGGCAGACUUUGCCACGAAGAAGGACAGGGAUCGUGUUUGGGAGGGCUCGCCGUGGCAUGUCAGCAAACAUGCUGUGAUACUUUUAGAGUUUGAUGAGUGCAUGCGGCCCUCGGAGUUGAAAUUUGACAAGCUACAACUUUGGGCUAGAGUCAUGAACUUACCUUUUAAUCUGCGUGAUGAAAAGUGGAGUGCUGCGAUUGCAAGCCAAAUCGAUAAAAAGGCCACGGAUAUCAAGUUUGAUCAUACCGCAGGGUACCUUAGGGCUAGGGUCACCGUGGAGGUGGACAAACCCCUUGGGAGGUGGAUUUUGAUUGAGUCUAGGAGGAGGAAGUGCAUGGACCCAUAUGACAUCUUGUAUGAGAAUGUUCCUCACUUCUACUUUUCUUGUGGCUGUCUAGGCCACUCGGAUCUGUACUGCUUGGCGCCUGGUGCCCAAGACGCCAAUGGUGAUCUACCCUUUGGGAAAGGGCUGAGAGCGCCAGACGAAAGGAGGAAAAAUGCUUCAGGAGAUGGUUCGAACAGGGAGCAACCUUCAGCACAGAAUAGGAAAACAACAACCAGGCAAUCAACUACUGAAGCAAAGGAUGCAACUGAAGUCACGUCCCCCAUGAAGAGCAAUGUCAAUCAGAAUAAGCGGAAGGGAGGACCCCAGGUGCAGAAACAAGUGUACAGGAGGGUUGAGUUACCUCUGCUAGCUAACAGCCCGCACACUAAAGGUGGUGACACAAACGGUCUACUUGUUCCAGGUGGGGUGCAGGAGGUGAGGGAGGAGUUGGAAGCAGAUCUUGUACGAGAGCCAAAGAAGAAGAAACCGACACCCAAUAAUUCAAAAACAUCGGCAGAGGCUAUGGUGCAGCCCUGCCGGAGCCAAUGAAGUGUCUAAGCUGGAACUACCGCGGGCUUGGGAACCCGGAGGCAGUUCGCAAGCUUCGCAAUGUUGUGAAGCAAGAAGUGCCCAGUCUCCUAUUCCUGAUGGAGACGAAGAUUUCAGCAAAGCGAGUGGAGAGUCUGCAGAAUCAGUUGGGUUUUGCAGGCUGUUUUGCAGUGAACAGCAACGGGCUGAGUGGUGGGAUCGGUAUGUUUUGGUCGGCUGAUGUUGAGGUGGAACUGAAAAACUAUAGCUCGGCACAUAUUGAUGUGAUGGUGAGGUAUAAAGCUCGAAGCUCUUUAGAGUGGAGAGUGAUUGGUUUUUAUGGAGCUCCAAGGGUGGAAGACAGACGCCAGAGUUGGAGGUUCCUACGUACACUCUUCGGGAUUCGUCACGAAGCGUGGCUAUGUGUUGGGGAUUUUAACGAAACAAUGUUUGCAUCUGAGCACUUCACUCGAGCUGCACGUCCGGAGUGGCAGAUGAGAGCGUUCAGAGAGGCACUAGAUGAUUGCUCACUCCUUGAUCUUGGCUGGUCGGGAGUGGAACACACAUGGGAUAAUGGGAAGAGUGGCGAGUUAAAUGUCAAAGCUAGACUCGAUAGGGGGGUUGGAAACCUCCAACUUACCCAGUUAUUUCCGCAUACUUUGGUUCGCCACAUUAGUACAAUGGAGUCGGACCAUUGUUUCACCUUGGUCGACUUGCGACAAAGUGUGGUGGAGCCGCGAGAAGGAAGGACGAGGCAGUUCAGAUAUGAGGACAUAUGGCAAACCCAUUCGGAGUACGACUCCCUUGUACUUAGAGAAUGGCAUAAAGGAGCUGGCCUGAACGGAUUACAAGGUAUUAUGAACGCCCUGAAUAGCAUGCAAUCUACGCUAGCUACAUGGGGAGCGAAAGAAUUCGGGUGUCUUACACGGAGAGUCCGGAAACUUCGGGACAAACUUGAUCGACUUCGUCGCCGGCCAUCCAGGCGGGCCUGAACGAGGAAGAGCAUGUUGUCGCCAAGCAACUCCGGAAGGCACUCCGGCAAGAAGAGAUCUGGAUGCACCAGAGAUCCAGAGUUCCUUGGCUGCGAGAGGGAGAUCGAAACACGGGUUACUUUCAUGCCCAAGCAGGACAGCGAAAGCGGAUGAACAAAAUAGAAAGACUGGAAAGGGCGGAUGGCUCCAUAUGCCAAACGCCGGAGGAGAACUAUUCUGAAGUCCAAGGUUUUUACCAAGCACUAUAUACAAGUCAUGGGUUUAAGCCGAUGGACGAGCUACUAGCUUUUGUCCCUCCCAAGGUGACUGAUCAGAUGAACGUGGAACUUGACAAACUGUUCACAGCAGAGGAGGUCCGGACUGCGCUAUUCCAGAUGGCACCAUCCAAAGCACCGGGAGUGGACGGCUUUACGGCGGGAUUUUUUCAAAGGCACUGGUCUUUACUAAAAGAUGAUAUAAUCCCAGCUGUCCUAGGUUUUUUGAAUGGAGGUGCACUACCCGAGGGACUGAAUGACACUUCAAUAACGUUGAUUCCAAAGGUGAGGCACCCCCAGCGCAUUGCUCAGUAUCGACCCAUAUCACUAUGUUCUGUACGGUACAAGAUUGCUUCUAAAUGCAUCAUCAAUAGGUUGAGAUGUUUUAUGGGGGAGAUUAUAAGUGAAGAACAGAGUGCAUUCGUGCCCGGACGUCUCAUCACCGAUAAUGUUUUAAUUGCUUAUGAGAGUGUUCAUGCAAUGAGAAGGCGCAAGAAAGGUAAAAACUGUGGAUGUGCAGUUAAAUUGGAUAUGAUGAUGGCGUACGACCGGGUCGAGUGGCAUUUUUUGGAAGCUAUCAUGUUACAAUUGGGGUUCAGCUCCAAUUUCGUCAGACUGAUUAUGCAGUGUGUAACUUCAGUGAGAUUCACAAUUCGGGUGAAUGUGCAACUCCUACCAUUUUUCACUCCUUCAAGAGGACUCCGACAGGGAGAUCCCAGUUCCCCGUUUCUUUUUCUCCUCUGUGCAGAGGGUUUUACAUCAGUCCUCAAUUUCUUUGGGGGGUGAAUGUGGACAGAGGAAUACGUGUUAGCCCUCUUUCUCCUUGGGUCAAUCAUUUGUUAUUUGCCGAUGACAGUUUAAUUUCCUGAAAGCAGAUGUGACAAGUGCACUCAGGCUGAAUGAGGUGUUGAGGAUCUAUGGCGAGUGCUCGGGACAGUGUGUUAAUCGUGACAAAAGCUCCGUUUACUUUAGUCCGAACACACCUGACACCACUCGGCAGGAGCUAAAAUCAGUGUUGGGUAUUUCUGUGGAGGCCUUCUAUGAACGUUAUUUGGGACUCCCAACGGCUACCGGACGGAUCACUAGUGAAACUUUUGAGUACCUCUGUGAACGCAUCAGAUGCAAGCUGCAAGGAGGUACUGAAAGGCUUAUCUCAUGUGCAGGGAGGGAAAUUCGCCUCAAAGCUAUUGCGCAGGCAAUCCCGUCCUUUUCGAUGAGUUGUUUCAAGUUAACAAAGAAGAUUUGCAAAAGUUUCUCUUCAAUCAUGGCUCGAUAUUGGUGGAGCAGCUCAGUGGAUCUGAGGUCCUUACACUGGAUCGACUGGGACUCUCUGACCAGACCAAAGAUUGCGGGCGGGAUGGGAUUCAGGAAGUUGGAUUUGUUCAAUCUAGCUCUCCUUGGAAAGCACGGCUGGAUGCUUAUAACGACUCCAGAUUCUCUGUGCGCGCGCGUUUUGAAAGGAAAAUACUUCCCCACAAGGGAGUUUGUGGAUGCGACAAUUCCUAAACAUGCGUCAGCCACCUGGAGGGCAAUAGUUGCAGGGAGGCAGGCCCUGGAAACUGGCUUGGUAAAAAGAAUUGGCGAUGGCUCGUCUGUGUCCACUUGGCAUGAUAGCUGGAUACCAGGUCUCCUCUCGCUGCGUCCGUCAGCACAAAUCGGUAAUGCUAACAUUCCUUAUGUGGCAGAUCUAAUUGAUGCUGAGACGGGUUCAUGGAAGAUUGAAUUGGUAAGACAAAAUUUUACAGCCCCAGAAGCUGACGCUAUUCUUAACAUUCCUUUGAGUGUUGGAGGAGGGGCUGAUUCAUGGGCAUGGGCUGCCGAAAAGUCCGGGAACUACACUGUAAAAUCCGCGUGCCGCUCUCUGGUGACCCAGAACGAGCAUUCAGCUCUAGGGGAAGGGACGGUUACAGAAUCUUCAGAGAAUCAGAAACAGUGUUGGUCCAGACUCUGGAAGCUCAAGGUUGUGCCAAAAGUUCGUGUGUUUUGGUGGCGAGUGCUCCAGAAAAUCCUUCCUGUCGAGAGCACUCUGAAGCACAGGCACAUUACUCAAUUGGCACGUUGCAAAGUCUGCCUUGAUGCAGACGAAGAUUUGUAUCAUGCACUGAUAAAGUGCACACAUGCAAAAAUGUUUUGGAGGGAGGCGAAGGAGUGGCUCAGUAUUAAGCUACCGGAGCUCCACCCAUCCACUUGGUCUAAGGACAUUUUAUGUGACUCCAGAUUCGAGGAAGCUGACCGCGCAAAGAUUAUUACGGUAAUGUGGGCGAUCUGGACGUCUAGGAACAAUGUGACUCAUGACAAACAAAGCUUGAAUCCAGUGGUGUCGAUGCAGAAAACCAGAGAAGCUCUGGAUAGAAUUGCCCAUGGACCAAGCUAAGAUCUUGCCUGGACACGGCUCGCGGCCUGCUGAAGGAGACUUCAUAAAUAUCAAUGUCGAUGCAGGUAUUUCUACGGAAGCCAGGCUCGCAGGUGUGGGAGGAGUUGCUCGAUCAUCUACAACUUAUCUCGGUGCCUGGUGCAAGCCGAUCCAUGGCGUCACUGAUUCGCUUGUCGCAGAGGCUCUAGCCCUCUGGGAAGGUGUAAUCUUCGCAAAGCUUCGUGGCUUUGAGCGAGUGCAAAUGGAGACUGACAGCCAGGAUGUGGUCGAUCUCCGCAACUCGCGCCGUUCUUCGCGCUCCUUGAUAGCGCCAGUACUUCUAGAUAUUGAAGGGUUAGCAGAUAGCUUUACUUCUUUUAGUAUUCAUCAUGUAAAGAGGCAUUCGAAUGUACCUGCCCACUUGUGUGCGAAAAAUGCUUGCACACUUGAGGUGACAGACUGCUGGAUGUACUCUCCCCCUGGGUUCUUGGUGACUUGCCUUAUGGCAGACACUGCUGGAGCCCGAUCAAUUGAAUAAAACCCUCCAGUUCCACGCAAAAAAAAGAACCCUCACUUUCCCCGACGCGCCACUUUAGCCGUCCCAUUUACAGGACUGGUCGCCCAUUUACAGGAUUCAAAAGAUGCUCGCGUAUAAAAAAUCUUUGAGGAUCCAAAUGGUUUCCAAAUUUUGUUUGGAACUUUUAAAAAUGUUUUAGUUUUCAAAAAUUGUUAUUUCAAAAUUUAUUCAAAUUUCAAAAAAAGCGGAAUAAAAAAGUUUUGGAAUUCCAAUAAUUAUUUUCGUUUCCAAAACAAUGUUCACCAUUUAAAUUUUAUUUCCAAAAUUUUCAAGAAACGUUCGAAAAUGUGUAAAUAUUUUAAACAUGGCGCUUGGGUAAAAACUCAAUUGGAGCCUUGUGCAUUUGCUGGAGUGGCUAGUGCUGUAGGUUCAUGACCCGUAAUUCUCGUGUUCGAUUCCUGGCAGCAUUUCGCUUUUUUUCUGCCAUUUUUACGUCCAAUAGGAGCUCCCGUCGCUAACCAGUGACCCGCCCGCGAAAUAGGAUCCCCGCCUACUACACCCUGUGACCGCUAAUCUGGUUGAAUUGGCUACGAACCGCUAAAAAAAGGCUAGGUACUGAUUUUAUAUUUGCCCAAACAAAUGUAUGAUUUUGCAUGAGUCAAAUAAAAAUUUACAACUUUGUUAUUUUCCUUUAAGUACAAUUGUUCUAUAUUUUUCAUACUUGUUUUAAUUUGAUAAAUAUACAAAAUAUAAUAAAAUAUUCAUCAUGUAUUAUAAAAUAUUCAUAAUGUAUCCAUCUUGUUUUUGAAUUUUCAUAUCCUAAUUAAAAAAUGUUCAUCGUUUGAGAGUUCUUAUGUAUGAAUUAAUAAUAUUUGUCGUUUUUACCAAAUGCUCAUCGAGUUUCCAAAAAUGUUUGUACCAUUAGAAAACAUUGUUGACGACAUUAAAAAAAUGUUAACACAUUUAAGACAUUGUUCAUGUCAAUUCAAAAAUAUUCAUUAUGGUUCUAAAAAAGUCCAUGAAAUGUAAACAUUUAUUCGGACAAUUUUUGAAAAACGGUCAUGGUAUAUGAAAAUAUAAUUAUAACACUUAACAAAAUAUUCACAUGUUUUAAAAUAUGUUCAUGACAAUGUAGAAUUUCUUACCACAAUUAUUUUUUAAGUCUAUGUCACAUAAAAAUGUUCACUUGUUUAACCAAAAGACGACAAAAUGUAAAAGAAACAUAAAUAAAAAAUUAGCAAAAUAAGAAAGAAUUAGAAGAAACAAAAAAGAAGGAAAAAUAUAUCAGAAAAUAAAUAUUCAAAGUAAACCAGAAAAAUAAAAUAAAAAACUGGCAUAGAAAACAAAGAAAAAAAGGCUGUAGAAGGUUAACAAAACCAGGAAAAAAAACCUGUUCUCAACUGUAGCUUAAAAGUUUCCCAAGACCAAUUUAUGGGUCGUGUCACUCAGACAUACGUUGUAGGCAAGGGACCUGUUGAUGAUAUAACCAUUAGAGUCACCCGCUCAGGAGGGGCCGGGUUACGUCAUAAUGAUCAUCACGUGAAGCCCAGUACCAAGCUUGAGGAUGGCGG
rnacentral:lncRNA from 1 species